UACUGUCUUAAUAAUUCUUACAUUUUAAUAAUAAUAUGUCUUAAUUCUUACAUUCUUGGGUGUGAUAAUCAUAUCAUUGAUAUUCAGAAAAAUGUCCUUGUCAUUUGGAUAUAUAUAGUAUCUAUGAAUGAAAUGCCAUGAGGUUUACAAAUUGCUUUCAAAUGUUUCAUGAAGACCUACGUAGAGAAAUAACAAAUGUGACAAAAUGUUAACAGUUGGUUAUUUUAGGUGGAGAACUUAUGGGUGUUCAUCUUACUAUUCUUCUAACUUUUUUACAUACUUGAAAUAUCAAAAUUUGAGAAUUUUAAAGCACCAUAUAACUAGCAUUACCCUAUAUGUUUUAAUAAAUAGCUCAUAUAUCUAUUUCAACUCACAUAUAUAAUACUAUUGAAUACCAACCUUUUCCCUCUUAAAGGAGAAUUAGGUUGUUUUUUAUUUGAUUACUGUUAUAGCAGGCAUCUUUGUGAAUUACUCCCUGUGCUAAGGGCAGCAGUAUCUGGAAAACUGGUCCGUGUAAGGUAGUAUAUGUAUCUUUCUUUAGCUGUGUCUUGGAGAAAACUCAGAACAUCACACACUGUUCCAUGUUGGUUUAACAUACUAACUGGGAGCUGCUUAGACUGGAGGCCUCCCUUGAUGUCACAUGCUGCAGGCCAUAUUGGCUCAUAUCCAAAGCAAGGGAUGCAUACCCCAUGGAAACAAAAGGUGAUUGGAUGAAGGUCCAGGCUGAGGGACACAUCCACAGUGUAUGACCUCAUCAUCUCCAUGUGAGGCUCCCGGGUUUUCCAAGACCGGAGUCCAGCAUAGAGAAUGGGAACUGGAUGUUAAAGGCUCGUGAUUACACCCAUCUCUUCAACUCAUGUUUUCUUGGCCAAACAAGUCACUUGGCUAUGCUUAUUUUUCUAGACACAAACAAGUGUACCUUCCCUGUGCCUGGAAUCAGAGAAGAAACAGGAGGUCCUCCCUGACAGUCAGAGGACUCCACGUCAUCCAUUGGUUUGGAGAUGGGUAAUCAAAUGAUAGCAGCUAAAAUAAAUUUAAGUUUACAAAUUCAAUAUGAAAUCUCAGAUGUAAAAGAUUUGGAU